rnacentral:rRNA from 1 species
GUGCCAGCAGCCGCGGUAAUACGUAUGUCGCGAGCGUUAUCCGGAAUUAUUGGGCUUAAAGGGCAUCUAGGCGGUAUAACAAGUUGAAGGUGAAAAGCUGUGGCUCAACCAUAGCCUUGCCUACAAAACUGUAAUACUAGAGUACUGGAAAGGUGGGUGGAACUACACGAGUAGAGGUGAAACUCGUAGAUAUGCGUAGGAAUGCCGAUGAUGAAGAUACUCACUGGACAGAAACUGAC